rnacentral:rRNA from 1 species
CCUACGGGUGGCAGCAGUGAGGAAUAUUGGUCAAUGGACGGAAGUCUGAACCAGCCAUGCCGCGUGCAGGACGAAGGUGCUAAGCAUUGUAAACUGCUUUUGUCAAAGGACAAAAUCAGAUUCGAGUGUCUGUCCGAGGGUACUUGACGAAUAAGCAUCGGCUAACUCCGUGCCAGCAGCCGCGGUAAUACGGAGGAUGCAAGCGUUAUCCGGAUUUAUUGGGUUUAAAGGGUGCGUAGGCGGUCGGAUAAGUUAGAGGGAAAAUCCCGGGGCUCAACUCCGGCAAGGCCUCUGAUACUGUUCGGCUAGAGAGUAGGUGCGGUAGGCGGAAUGUACGGUGUAGCGGUGAAAUGCUUAGAGAUCACACAGAACACCGAUUGCGAAGGCAGCAUACCAAGCGACUUCUGACGUUGAGGCACGAAAGCGUGGGGAGCAAACAGGAUUAGAUACCCUGGUAGUC